GACGAACGCUGGCGGCGUGCUUAACACAUGCAAGUCGAACGGUAAGGCCCUUCGGGGUACACGAGUGGCGAACGGGUGAGUAACACGUAGGUGAUCUGCCCUGCACUUCGGGAUAAGCCUGGGAAACUGGGUCUAAUACCGGAUAGGACCACUGCCUGCAUGGGUGGUGGUGGAAAGCUUUUGCGGUGUGGGAGUGGCCCGCGGCCUAUCAGCUUGUUGGUGGGGUGAUUGCCUACCAAGGCGACGGCGGGUAGCCGGCCUGAGAGGGGGACCGGCAACACUGGGACUGGGUUACGGCCCAGCCUGCUACGGGGGUCAGCAGUGGGUGAGAUUGCGCAAUGGGCGCAAGCCUGAUGCAGCGACGCCGCGUGAGGGAUGACGGCCUUCGGGUUGUAAGCCUCUUGCAGCACCGACGAAGCGCAAGUGACGGUAGGUGCAGAAGAAGGACCGGCCAACUACGUGCCAGCCGCCGCCGUAA
rnacentral:rRNA from 1 species